CUGGAAUCUAGUCCAAAUUAAUGACUGUGUUUCUAAGUUGAGGCGAAGCAAGUAAACCGCAGCUCUGCAAUGAAAUUAACUUGAGGGCCGAGUCCAGCUUGAGGAAACCUCAGAAGAGUUUGCACAUUGAACUGGAAUCUGAAGAACUCUUUCAGGAUACACAGCCUUUCAAAAAAGCAUUCUUCCCGAGGGUCUUUAUAUCAAUAAUACAUAGCUCCUCUCUUCACCAGAAACAAUGGAAGCUUUCCAGGAAGUUAUUGUCAGUGACCAUUGGAGGUGGAAAACCUCCAGAGAACCAUCCAUGGUCUUUAAGAAUUGACAAACUUUUGAAAAAAAGUCCAGUAUUUAAAAUAAAAAUUCC
rnacentral:lncRNA from 1 species